rnacentral:lncRNA from 1 species
AUAUGAUAUACUUUGUAUAACUUAUUUCUGAAAAUGAAUUGUGAAAUUAAAUUUUUAUAAAAAUAGUUUUACAAUAAUUUUUAUACAUUGAUAUUCUUAAAAAUUAGCAUUAUUAUAUAAAAACGUUUUCUCUCAAAAAUAUUAUUUAAGGUAAAUUUGCAAAGUGAAAAACUAAAUCCACAUUUUACAUCACAUAUUUAAAACCGAAACCACUGUGCGAUGGUCGCAUGACUGAGGCGUCAUUGUUGAGUCGCGUGAUCAACCAGUGUGGCGGACGGGUGAUGUUUCCGCGAUCCAGUGUGGUCCAUCGGAGGGUUGUUCGUUGUGAAUUCUUAAGGGUUGGUUUCAUAAAUUUCCAAAUUCUGUUUCAUUUUAAAUGCGGUACGGAAGAGGUUUGUCGGAAUCUUGAUUAUAAGGUGAUUCCCCGCUUGCACAUAUAUCGAC